GGGGGCGACCUGGAUUCGACGGAGGUUACAGAGUCGGAGGUGGCACGCCGAGGUUCCGGUUGGCCUCGUUAAACAGCCGGACUGCUUAACCGCAGACAACGAUCAGUACCUCCUCGCGGCCUAAGUGCCAUGAGGCGUCCGCCUGGCCUUCUCCCGCUGGGCUAACGCGGACGUCAUUUUCGCGGGAUCGGUUCGGCGCUGCAGCUUGGAGGCGUCGGACUCAAAUCUCCCAGGCUGGUCUCGAAGGAGCCCGCUCACGGGCGCCGACGGGAUGACGACAAAACGUGAGCUAAGCGUGUAGAGGCUUUCGAUCGAGUGCUUUCGGACGGGGGUUCAAUUCCCCCCGCCUCCAUUC
rnacentral:tmRNA from 1 species